rnacentral:rRNA from 1 species
GACAGAGGGGGCAAGCGUUGCUCGGAAUUACUGGGCGUAAAGGGCGCGUAGGCGGGAUGGCAAGUCGGUCGUGAAAUCCCUCGGCUCAACCGAGGAACGUCGAUCGAUACUGCUGUUCUUGAGGAUUGCAGAGGAGACUGGAAUUCCCGGUGUAGCGGUGAAAUGUGUAGAGAUCGGGAGGAACACCGGUGGCGAAGGCGGUGGUCUGGGCCGGAACUGACGCUGAGGAGCGAAAGCGUGGGGAGCGAACAGG